rnacentral:rRNA from 1 species
AGAGUUUGAUCAUGGCUCAGAACGAACGCUGGCGGCGUGCCUAACACAUGCAAGUCGAACGAGAGAUUUCGAUUCGUCGGAAGAGUAAAGUGGCAGACGGGUGAGUAACAUGUAGGUAAUCUACCCUUAAGAGAGGAAUAACCCACCGAAAGGUGAGCUAAUACCUCAUAAGACCAGGAGUCCUUCGGGGUUAUUGGUAAAAGAUGGCCUCUAUUUAUAAGCUAUCGCUUAAGAAUGAGCCUGCAUCCUAUUAGUUAGUUGGUAAGGUAAAGGCUUACCAAGACAAAUAUGGGUAGCUGGUCUGAGAGGAUGAUCAGCCACACUGGAAUUGAGACACGGUCCAGACUCCUACGGGAGGCAGCAGUGAGGAAUAUUGCGCAAUGGGGGAAACCCUGACGCAGCAACGCCGCGUAAGUGAGGAAGGCUUUCGGGUCGUAAAGCUCUGUCAGGUGUGAAGAAGUGAAGUAAAACUAAUAAUUUUACUUCUUGACGUUAGCACCAGAGGAAGCACCGGCUAACUCCGUGCCAGCAGCCGCGGUAAUACGGAGGGUGCAAGCGUUGUUCGGAAUUACUGGGCGUAAAGAGCGUGUAGGCGGCUUGCAAGUUAAAUGUGAAAGCCCUAGGCUUAACCUGUGAAGUGCAUUUAAAACUACCAAGCUUGAGUACGAGAGAGGAAGGUGGUAAUUUCCAGUGUAGAGGUGAAUUCGUAGAUAUUGGAAA